rnacentral:piRNA from 1 species
UUUGCAUCUGCGGUAUAACCUGCAA